rnacentral:rRNA from 1 species
UACGGAGGGUGCGAGCGUUAAUCGGAAUUACUGGGCGUAAAGCGUGCGUAGGUGGUUUUUUAAGUUAUCUGUAAAAUCCCCGGGCUCAACCUGGGAAGGCCAGAUAAAACUGAGGAACUCGAGUAUUGGAGAGGGUAGUGGAAUUUCCGGUGUAGCGGUGAAAUGCGUAGAGAUCGGAAGGAACACCAGUGGCGAAGGCGGCUACCUGGCCAAAUACUGACACUGAGGCACGAAAGCGUGGGGAGCAAACAGG